UACGGGGGGAGCAAGCGUUGUUCGGAUUUACUGGGCGUAAAGGGUGCGUAGGCGGCGCGGUAAGUCGGGGGUGAAAUCUCGGAGCUUAACUCCGAAACUGCAUUCGAUACUGCCGUGCUUGAGGACUGGAGAGGAGACUGGAAUUUACGGUGUAGCGGUGAAAUGCGUAGAUAUCGUAAGGAAGACCAGUGGCGAAGGCGGGUCUCUGGACAGUUCCUGACGCUGAGGCACGAAGGUCAGGGGAGCAAACGGG
rnacentral:rRNA from 1 species